CACCUGUCUGUCCAUCCAUCCGUCUGUCCAUCCAUCCCCUCUUCCUCCCCUCACCCAGAUGCUUGGUGUUGGAGCAGAGCCCUGCGAUGGUUAUUAAGCGGCGCCUGAGGCAUUUUCCCACCUCGUGUCUCUGCACAAAUCACACCAGCAGUGGGAACAAGCCGAGCGGUGCCAGCUCUGUGCCCGUGACCUUUCAGCAGAGCUGGGAUCUGGAUGCCGUGUCUCUGCAGUUCCCAUUAGGCUGCAUGUGCCCGCCCGGUGCCCCGGGGCAGCUCAGCACAUUGGCAGCCUCGUGGCACAGGUGAGUGCUGCCCGCUGCGGUGAUUCAUCCCGGUUUUAUCUCUCUCUCCCUUUGGCUCCCUCAGCCUCUCUCUGAACGAUUCGCCCCGGGCUGUUUUUCUCCUCCAUCGGCUGCUUUGGCACAAAGGAUCUCAAUGACACCAGAGGAAUGCAGCACCGAUAUGGGGCGCAUCCUGCAUCCCUGAAGGUGUCCUGGGGGAGAAGACCUGGGGGAGACCCCCGGGGCCCACCCAAAACUCAGCACCGAGGAGCCUUGUGCUGCCAGGAACGUCCUGCGGGUGGAUACAAAGGGGUCACGGUGGCAGCAGGCAGCACCUGUGGCGCCAUGACACUGAGCACCAGACCCACGUGCACGGAGAUGCCCCAGUUUCUUGCAGCCCUUGAGCCAUUCCCGCUGCCACACGCGUGUCCUCCCGAGCUCCUUUGGUGCCCACUGAUGCCCACAGCUGUGCCACUGACCCACUUACAUGGCACAACUUGCAGCUCCUCGUCUCCGCUGUCCGGCUGCCUCCUGAGAGCCCUUCUUGGGCCCAGAAAAUGGGCAGGUUAUCCUAAAAUCCUUCAUCUCCCGCAGGUGACACCAAGCUCAGCCCCUGCCUGUGCUCAGCCCCUGCCCUGAGGAUGGCCCUGGGGCACGUGUGGGGCUGCUCUCCAUCAGGGCAGCCCCAUGGGCAGCCCCCCGCUGCCUUUCCCAGCUCGUCACCCUGCAAGUGGAGGAGAUGACAUCCCCGCCCCUGCCAAGACAAACACGGCGUCGGCCAAACAUGCCGCGCUUGGCAAGGCCUGGCCAUCCAUCACAGCAGCCACCAGCCUCCCCGGCACUGCCAUAAGGCUCGGGGGUCUCAGCAUGAGGACUAAGGGAUGGGGUGCACACAUUGCCCACCCCUGGGUGAUGGCAGGGCAUUGGGUCCCCAGCACCUUGCCAUGCAGAGGGUGCCCCAGGGACACAGCUUGACUCUGGCUUGGCCCCAGGCAGAAACUUGGCCACGGUUACCUCCAGGCACUUACAAUAAUAAAGUCCCAUUUGAGCAAGUAUCUGAAAUCCAGGCUGAAGGGGCAAAGGCUCAGCUAUCCCGAACAUGCAUGGGGUUCCAUCAGGGAACCAUCCCAGGGCUCCAUCCUGCCUUUACCCUAUGAAUUCUAGCUCUGCAUGGCUGUGCCUUGCUCCUGGCUCCCUGCACCCCCACCCCUUCACUUGUCCUUUCAUCCCUGCCCUUGCAUUUCUCCAUCCCCAUCCCUGCACCCCGCUCCCUAUAGCACUGAGCUGGGACACAUUAGGAUCCCGCUGAGCAACCCUGCCCGACACGGGGCGUGCA